CUCAGUUCGGAUCGCAGUCUGCAACUCGACUGCGUGAAGGCGGAGUCGCUAGUAAUCGCGGAUCAGCAACGCCGCGGUGAAUGCGUUCCCGGGCCUUGUACACACCGCCCGUCAAGUCAUGAAAGUGGGUAGCACCCGAAGCCGGUGGCCCGACCCUCGUGGGGGGAGCCGUCUAAGGUGAGACUCGUGAUUGGGACUAAGUCGUAACAAGGUAAC
rnacentral:rRNA from 1 species